rnacentral:tRNA from 1 species
GCGGGUGUAGUCUAGUGGUUAUGAUGCGCGCUUCCCAAGCGCGAGGUCCGGGGUUCGAACCCCCGUUCCCGCA